rnacentral:lncRNA from 1 species
AAAAUACAAGUAUAGAGAGCAACCAAGAAAGAAGUAGAGAGAAACAGAAAGAUACCGAGAGGCCGCGAGAAGGAGAAGAGACCAAGGAAGCCGCGAGAAGUGUGGUUGCUCCAAAAGGCACCGGUUUCAACAACGAUGCUCACAAUAUAAAGGUUUGGUUUUUCUCCCUUUAUCUUUCUUUGUGCGUUUUUUAGUGGUGUUAAUCUUAGAUCAUCCCCCUCUUUGAAAUUUUAUAGGGUAUAUUUAUAGAGUUUUUUAUGUGUUCAAUUGUUUUCUGGUCUGCGUUGGUCCUUAUCUAUCUACUUCCUGUUUGAUGUUUCAUUUCCUUUGCUCAUGAUCUGCGUUUUUUCUACACCUCUGAUACAUUUAUGGUUUUGACUUAUUUGUUUUGAUCUGUUCUGUUGCUGAGCUUUAAUUUGUCCCUUAGUUUAUUUUUUAAACUCAAAAUUUUGUCUCUUUGUUCUGCACAAAGUGUACCAAGACUGACUUAAAAAAAAUGUUUUUUAUGUUUCUCUAAUUAGUUACAAAGCAAAGGUCAAUGACACUGCAUCUGAAACAGAAAGGCAGCAACAAAAAAGAGUCAAACACUGCUUCAGAAACAGAGAGGCAGAGAGGCAACAACAGCAACAAAUUAAAAAUUAUUGUAAUUUAAUUUAGUUUGGUUUAAAUCUUAUUGUAAUUUAAUUUGAUUUAAUAUUUAUGGUUGCAAUUUGAUUGUAAUUGUAAUUAUAACUUGAUUUAGCAUUGUAAAUUGAUG